GCGGGGCUGUGGCAGAGCGGUCCAUUGCACCGUCGGCACCCCGGUGCCGACGGCCGGACCUGGCCGUCGGCCCCGCGGGUUCGAAUCCCGUCGUCCCGCA
rnacentral:tRNA from 1 species